rnacentral:rRNA from 1 species
GGGGUAUUCAGUUAUUUCACUACUCCUUUGGUCGUUUACUGUGAGAAAAUUAGAGUGUUCAAAGCGGGCGUUUGUUUGAAUAGAUUAGCAUGGAAUAAUGAUUGAAGGCUUUCGUGUUCGAUUUGAUUGGUUUGUUCAUGGAAGCAAGGUUAAAAGGAACAGUUGGGGGUAUUCAUAUUCACUAGUUAGAGGUGAAAUUCUCGGAUUUAUGGAAGAUGAACAGGUGCGAAAGCAUUUACCAAGGAUGUUUUCAUUAAUCA